rnacentral:rRNA from 1 species
GAUGAACGCUGGCGGCGUGCCUAAUACAUGCAAGUCGAGCGAACGGACGAGAAGCUUGCUUCUCUGAUGUUAGCGGCGGACGGGUGAGUAACACGUGGAUAACCUACCUAUAAGACUGGGAUAACUUCGGGAAACCGGAGCUAAUACCGGAUAAUACUUUCAACCGCAUGGUUCAAAAGUGAAAGACGGUCUUGCUGUCACUUAUAGAUGGAUCCGCGCUGCAUUAGCUAGUUGGUAAGGUAACGGCUUACCAAGGCAACGAUGCAUAGCCGCCCUGAGAGGGUGAUAGGCCACACUGGAACUGAGACACGGUCCAGACUCCUACGGGAGGCAGCAGUAGGGAAUCUUCCGCAAUGGGCGAAAGCCUGACGGAGCAACGCCGCGUGAGUGAUGAAGGUCUUCGGAUCGUAAAACUCUGUUAUUAGGGAAGAACAUAUGUGUAAGUAACUGUGCACAUCUUGACGGUACCUAAUCAGAAAGCCACGGCUAACUACGUG